rnacentral:miRNA from 1 species
UAUACUCUGCCACUUUACU